UAGGGAAUCUUCCACAAUGGACGGAAAGUACGUGAUGGAGCAACGCCGCGUGAGUGAAGAAGGGUUUCGGCUCGUAAAACUCUGUUGUUAAAGAAGAACAUAUCUGAGAGUAACUGUUCAGGUAUUGACGGUAUUUAACCAGAAAGCCACGGCUAACUACGUGCCAG
rnacentral:rRNA from 1 species